GGGGGCCUCUGUGGGGUGAUGGGCCAGAAACUGGGUGCAGGGUAAGACGGCAGAGGCCAGGAAAGAGACUGAGCCACGGAUCCGGCCACAGGAAGGGGACCAAGGCAUUGGGGAAGGAUUGGACAGCUGGAGCUGGAAACCUGACUGGUGCGCUUGCAGAUUCUUACCCCUUUCGUCCUCCUUUAGGAUGUAGCCCCACCACGGUGCCUGGCAGAUGGCAGGUGCUCAAGUAUAUUUUUGCUGAAUGAAUGAGUAUGAACACACCUCAGUGAACCAGAGGGCAUCAGCUUGGCACUGGUUACAGAAGACCAGUAAAUCAGCUGGGACCUGUUGAGUACGUUCCUUUAUACCAUCUAGAGUGCUGAACAUUUUGCUUUUAUGGUUUUAUCCAACACUAGGAUGAAAUAGACACUAUAAUCACAGCAGAGGCAACUAAGGCUCAAAAAGGUGACGUAAUUGACCCGGGUGACGCAGCCAGGAAGUGGCAGAGCCAGCGUUCAAACUCAGGCUCCGGGCUUCAGUAAAUGAAUGGGCAAGUAGUGAACAACCGUGGGAAGCUUUCACAAGCGCAAGGCAGCCCCGGACUUGAUGAUGCCAUAUUAUCCAUCGGACGUCCUAAACUCACGUCUGGAAAAGGAAAAGGGGACCAAGACUGUGGGAAGAGAGCACAGGGGCCUUGUAGGUCUGGCACCUGCUCCGAGUUCCGAAAAGGGGGAGGAUACAACAGGCCACUUGGUGGGGCUCCAAGGGAAGCUCUGGGACAGAAAGAAAAUAUUUCACUGGGCCAGAGUGCCAAAAAUAUAUUUUUUUAAUAAUAAAAUAAAUUACAAGGGAGACGUGGCUCAGGGAAUUUCCCCGCCUGAAAGAAGGGGGCGUCUGCAUGUGUGUCAGUUUCACUAAAAGAACCUGGAAUCUGUGGAAGAGGCGAGGACCCAGGAAGACCCGUCAAGCUAAACCACAGGAAAAGCAUCUGGAGUCCUGGGGGAAAGGCCUCGCCCAUCCCAAACCGUGGCCUGACACACCUGGACACAGCUCAGCCACAGGGAGGCAACCUUGCCCUUGGGGUUCUGCUUAAUGUUGUGAAAGGCUGGCCAGAGAGCAGUUGAGCUGCUCCUUUGCAGCUUCUCAGACAAGCCUGGAGAGCCCAGGAAGCACCCAGCACCAACAGCAAGACGCUAUGUGAGCAGGAGCCCCGGGGAGAUGGGGAAGACCUGUGGAGACUGAGAACUGGCCCAGGCUGCUGCUGAGACAGGAUGUCAGGCAGGUGGGAGGCAGUGGUUUCUGCUUGGGGCUGGCUCACACUGCCUCCACGGCUGUCUGUCGGCAGAGUUGCCCAAAACCAGUUUGUUCACUUCCUCUUGGCCCCAUCACCACUUCCCCAAAGGCUUAUAUUUUUACAGAGCUUCAUGCUUGCUAGGCAGCAGGGAGGCUUAGAAAGAGCGGGAUGGCCAAGAAAGCGGCCUAUCCUGGUUCCCCUCCUUAUCCUACUCUCAGCCCAGCAGCAGGAGGCUGUGGUCUCCAGAAGCCGUCCUCCAGGGGCUGAUCUGGAGCCGCUGUCCCCAGGGGGCUUCAUACUAGGGAAGGGAUCCACAUGGGUUUGACCAAGAAGGAACCAGGGAUUCCUGAGCCCUUAUAGGCUGAUUUCAGGAGGCUCACUCAGAGCCAGGGCAAGGGGGAGGGAGAGUUCAAGGUUCCUGCACUGGGAGAAACAGGAAAUCCUGCUCAAGCAAAGGGGAACUCCCUGAUUAAACGUCCCACCCACCAGACCCCCACCGACACCGCAGGUGUCAGAGGCCUCCAGGCCCUAACAGAGAGUCCAGAGAAGGAUUCAGCUAACUCUAAGUUUUGUCCAGGUUGUAGGCACCCAGCAAGCAAGAGUCUUAGCGGCUAGAGGCUUCCCGGCACCAAGCUUCAAGUGUCUGACGUGCUUACUGGGGAGCCCCGGCUGGGGCGCUAUGCUCAGCAAUGACCACGAGGUGGCAACACAUUCCCACAGCCUCUCAGGAUGAGAGCCAAGCGGAGAAGCAGCUCAGAAAAAAACCAGAAGCAGGGAGCACUUGGUGGCACUUCCAGCGCCGUUUAGCCAGAGACCUCGGAUGGUUCAGAACAUGAAGGAAUUGAGAACCGAGGGCAAGGGAAACAACAACAGAUUGCCCCCUGCCCAAGUUCAAGCCGAUCCCGUGGUGAAUUUCUGGGCAGCACUAAAUUCAGUCCUCUUGCCUCAAGAAGGUUGAGAAGCUGCUUCUACUUUGAGACUUGUGAGUAUUCCAGUAAAGCCAGUAUCUGCGUUUUUCUUUAGUGUGUGUGAAGCUGCUCACACGCUCAUUCCACUUCACUCAAUGAACAAAACCACCCUGUGGGGCGGUGUUAUUCAUCUGGGCUCACAGCAGAAGACACUGAGCCCAGAGGUCGGAGGGGUCUGCUCAAAGCCAGAGGCAACGUAGCGAUGGGAGCCCACCACUGGCCUCCUCACCUCAGGGCAGGUCGGAGAAGACCAGAAGAGGGCCUUCCAGGUGAGGUGGUCCCACAGGGAUGCUUAGCUGCUCCCUGUCCCUGGUGCCUCCCUUGGCACCUGCCAGUCUCCGCCCAGUCCUCUCCUUUCUGUGGGCCGUCUUGCUGGUCCCGCCUCCUGCCUUUCAGAGCCUGCAAGUUCUCAAAGCACCUUGAAUGUCUUCAACUUAACGGCAAGCUUCUAAUCACCCAUACCGGGCAGGUGUCUCCUCAAAUCCCAAAGCGGGGCAGGUCUCGGGAGCCAACUGUAGAUCCUGGUGUCGACCCGCAUUGCCUUUAUCUAAACCCCAGAAAGUGCAGGAACGAAUGAACGAUAUGACAGGACAACCGCUGAUCCUAAAUGUUUACAGCGGGGCCAUAUCCUGCCCCCCAACCCAUUUUUUUUU